UACGUAGGGGUGCGAGCGUUAAUCGGAAUUACUGGGCGUAAAGCGUGCGCAGGCGGUCUGUUAAGACCGAUGUGAAAUCCCCGGGCUUAACCUGGGAACUGCAUUGGUGACUGGCAGGCUUUGAGUGUGGCAGAGGGAGGUAGAAUUCCACGUGUAGCAGUGAAAUGCGUAGAGAUGUGGAGGAAUACCGAUGGCGAAGGCAGCCUCCUGGGCCAACACUGACGUCAUGCACGAAAGCGUGGGGGAGCAAACAGGAUUAGAAA
rnacentral:rRNA from 1 species